GACGAACGCUGGCGGCGUGCCUAAUACAUGCAAGUAGAACGCUGAAGGAGGAGCUUGCUUCUCUGGAUGAGUUGCGAACGGGUGAGUAACGCGUAGGUAACCUGCCUGGUAGCGGGGGAUAACUAUUGGAAACGAUAGCUAAUACCGCAUAACAGUAGAUAUCGCAUGAUAUCUACUUGAAAGGUGCAAUUGCAUCACUACCAGAUGGACCUGCGUUGUAUUAGCUAGUUGGUGAGGUAACGGCUCACCAAGGCGACGAUACAUAGCCGACCUGAGAGGGUGAUCGGCCACACUGGGACUGAGACACGGCCCAGACUCCUUCGGGAGGCAGCAGUAGGGAAUCUUCGGCAAUGGACGGAAGUCUGACCGAGCAACGCCGCGUGAGUGAAGAAGGUUUUCGGAUCGUAAAGCUCUGUUGUAAGAGAAGAACGAGUGUGAGAGUGGAAAGUUCACACUGUGACGGUAUCUUACCAGAAAGGGACGGCUAACUACGUG
rnacentral:rRNA from 1 species